rnacentral:misc_RNA from 1 species
GAUGAAGCGCAGCGAAAUGCGAUAAGUAAUGUGAAUUGCAGAAUUCAGUGAAUCAUCGAAUCUUUGAACGCACAUUGCGCCCCCUGGUAUUCCGGGGGGCAUGCCUGUUCGAGCGUCAUUUCACCACUCAAGCCUCGCUUGGUAUUGGGCAACGCGGUCCGCCGCGUGCCUCAAAUCGUCCGGCUGGGUCUUCUGUCCCCUAAGCGUUGUGGAAACUAUUCGCUAAAGGGUGUUCGGGAGGCUACGCCGUAAAACAACCCCAUUUCUAAGGUUGACCUCGGAUCAGGUAGGGAUACCCGCUGAACUUAAGCAUAUCAAUAAGCGGAGGA